CGGAGGGAGGAGGCAGGAGAGGCGGGAGAAGGUGGGGUGGCAGGGUUGCACGGAUUGUGUGGGCGCAAAGAGGUCGUAGGGGGAUGGGCAGGCGGAGUGGGAAAGACCGAGGAUGAGACGCGGGUCUGCAGUCGAUAAGGGCGAGCUAGAGGGUGGUAGAGGAGAUCGGAAGUCCUGGUGUGGUGGUGAAAUGCGAAGAUAUCAGGAGGAACACCGGUGGCGAAGGCGGAUCUCUGUGCCAUUACGGACGCUGAGGAGCGAACGCGUGGGGAGCGAACAGGAGUAGAUACCCGGGUAGUC
rnacentral:rRNA from 1 species